AAUGAACGCUGGCGGUAGGCCUAACACAUGCAAGUCGAACGGCAGCACAGUAGUAGCUUGCUCUUGCGGGUGGAGAGUGUGGGACGAUUGAGGUAUACAUGGGAAUGUACUUGUUCGUGGGGGGUAACGUAGGGAAACUUACGCGAAGACCGCAUACGACCUGCAAGGAAAAGCAGGGGAUGUUCUGAGCUGUCGCGGGUGAAUUGGCCGAUGUCGGAGGAGCUAGUUGGCGGGGUAGAGGCGCAACAAGGCGACGAUGCGUAGCUGGUCUGAGAGAGUGAUCAGCCACACUGGAACUGAGACACGGUCCCGACUCUUACGGGAGGCCGCAGUGGGGACUCUUGGACAAUGGGGGAAAGCCUGAUCCAGCACUACCGCGUGGGUGAAGAAGGCCUUAGGGUUGUAAAGCCAUUUUGUUGGGAAAGAAAAGCAGCAGGUUAAUACCCCGAUGUUCUGACGGUACCAAAAGAAUAAGCACCGGCUAACUUCGUG
rnacentral:rRNA from 1 species